rnacentral:rRNA from 1 species
UACGGGGGGGGCAAGCGUUGUUCGGAAUUACUGGGCGUAAAGCGCGCGUAGGCGGCUUUGCAAGUCGGGUGUGAAAUCCCCAGGCUUAACCUGGGAACUGCAUUCGAGACUGCAUUGCUAGAGUAUGGGAGAGGGAAGUGGAAUUUCCGGUGUAGCGGUGAAAUGCGUAGAUAUCAGGAGGAACACCGGUGGCGAAGGCGGGUCUCUGGGCCGUAACUGACGCUGAGGAGCGAAAGCGUGGGGAGCGAACAGG